GGAUAGCUUAAUAUGAGUUUUCAAGGGGAAAGCAAAAAGACCGUGUACAAGGUAAAGAACAUUUUCCUGCCUAAUUUCAAGUCCUCACUCCAAAGUCUCCAGAGUGUUUCAAAGUAAACCUUAUCAGAUCUCUUAGGGUAGGAUCAUAUUGUGGUUAAUGUUGGCCACCUUUAAUAAUAGGUUGCAAUACCAACUCUGCCUAUGAUGCAAGGCUUUGAAUCCAUAGGCUAAGUUACAUUCCCAGAGGCAUAUCUUCAGCUUUUAUCUGCAUCUGUGACUGCUACAUGUAUAUAUCUAAAACCAUUUUUUUUUCACAUUGAAGUCUGGAUUCCAGUUUGCUUUCACUUAACUUUGAAAUUUGGCUUUAACAUCCCCAGAUAAUAUUUCCACACAUUAUCAAUAAGGUCUGAUCAGCUAAAGGCAGCUGAAAAAUAAUUGUGGCAGACAAAAUCUUUGUCUUUUGAAGCGUCCCUCCUUUCUGCUUUGCUCAUUUUCUGCUUGCAGUAAUUUCCUCCACCAUUCAAGCACCACGGAAGUUGUAAUUGACAAAUGGGAAAACUAAUCUGGUUAUUAGCUGAAGCAUGGGCUUUUCAGAAGCUUCCCAGGGUGAGCUGUACGAAGACCUUUCUUACUAGGAAAAUACUGACCUGGGCAUUGUCAAAUCUCUUGCAGAGACAGGUCAGAGGAAAAUGCUGCUUCCAGUAUACCGUUCUCCAGCUGAGCUGAGAGUGACUUCCCAAGAUAAGACCCUGCUGUUACUCAGCUUCUAAAUAAGGCUGUCAAAUAUCCUGAGCCUUGAGAGAAAUGAGAAACAUCUCAGUCUGUAAACAAUGGAACUAAUGGAACCUGGUUUCCUGAAGAUUUCUGUGGUAUGUACCAAUACUCCCUCACCUAAACCUGUCUCCCUAUUUCCUCCCUUCAUCACCAUGGCCAACAGCACUUAGGUAAAAAAUACCCUUAUAGCAUCUCCAAUGAUCUUUUCACUGCAAAGCCAGGCCA
rnacentral:lncRNA from 1 species